rnacentral:misc_RNA from 1 species
CGCCACUUCGCAUGCGUACUCUCACACACUAGUGUUUCUCUUAGCUUACCUUGCCUUCACUACCUCUCUUGCACAUGUGCGCAACACACACACUUAGUUUAUAGGUGAUGAAGGAAAUUCUGGAUGAUUCUUAAAAUGCCGGUGAUGAAGAAUUCUCAAAGCUUUCUUGAAUGGCGGUUGUGAAGCUUCUCCAAACCACCUGAAUUUUCUGCAAGCUUAAAGAAAUUUCUAGAUAAAGAGAGGCGGGGGUGAUUCUUUAAUAAUUAACAACUCUGUUUCUUUGCAAUAAACCCAUCAUUAUUAGCUUGUAAUUGAGGAUGUUGAGGCUUUAUUGCUUGCUAAUUCUUAUGCUAAAUUUAGCAUUACCAGUCUUAUCUGUUGAUACGUAUAGCAAAGAGGACUUCCCUUUUGGUGCUGCUACCUCUGCUUAUCAGGUGGAAGGAGCAGCACGUGAGGAUGGUAGGAGUCCCAGCGUUUGGGAUACCUUUUCUCGUGGAGGAGGAGAUGUGGCAGUUGAUGAGUAUCACAAAUACAAGGAAGAUGUCCAACUUAUGGCUGAAACUGGAUUAGGUGCCUAUAGAUUUUCCAUCUCAUGGGCUAGGCUUAUCCCAAAUGGAAGAGGACCUGUCAAUCCAAAGGGCUUACGGUAUUACAACAACCUCAUCAAUGAACUUAUUAGCCAUGGCAUCCAAGCACAUGUUUUAUUAUACAAUUAUGAUCAUCCACAAUCACUUGAAGAUGAAUAUGGAGGAUGGCUUAGCAGAAACAUUGUGAGAGACUUCACAGCUUAUGCAGAUGUGUGCUUCAGAGAAUUUGGUGAUAGGGUUUCAUCUUGGUCUACCAUAAAUGAGCCCAACAUCUUUGCAAAUGGUGGUUAUGACCAGGGAGUAGUGCCGCCGGGAAGAUGUUCUUAUCCAUUUGGAUUAUGGAACUGCUCCAAAGGCAACUCCUCCACGGAGCCAUACUUGGCAGCUCAUAAUAUGUUGUUGGCGCAUGCAUCAACUGUAAGAUUGUACAAGGAUAGAUAUCAGAGCAAGCAAAAUGGAGUUAUAGAUUAUUUGAACAUCAAACAUAUACUAACUCAACAGAGGAUGAAACUGCUGCACAAAGAGCCAUGGACUUCUUAAUUGGUUGGUUUGUAAAUCCCCUGGUGUUUGGAGACUAUCCUGAAGUAAUGAAAAAAAAUGCAGGUUCAAGACUUCCAGUCCUUACUGAUCAAGAAUCCAAAUUGGUAAAGGGAGCAUUUGACUUCCUAGGACUGAUACAUUACACUACAGUUUACAUCAAGGAUAACUCCAAAAUUCUGAAAACGGAGAAUAGAGAUUUCAAUGCAGACAUGGCAGUAACUAUCUCGUUCACACAAGAUGAAGAUGAUCCAUUCGGAUUAUUCCCAGUAGAGUAUCCUCAAAGGCCUUGGGGUCUGCAAGGAUUAUUGGAGUAUCUUAAGCAAGCUUAUGGCAAUCCUCCUGUUUACAUCCACGAAAAUGGGCAAGUGAGCCGGCGCAAUUCUUCAUUGGAUGACACUUCAAGGGUGGAAUAUCUGCAUGCAUAUAUUGGUAGUUUGCUCGACGCAAUCAGGAAUGGAUCAAAUACGAGAGGGUAUUUCGUAUGGUCCUUUUUAGAUGUAUUCGAGUUAUUGGAUGGCAGAGGAUCAAGUUAUGGCCUGUAUUUCGUAGAUUUGGACGAUCCAAGCUUGAGAAGACUACCCAAGAAAUCUGCACAUUGGUACUCCCAUUUUCUGAAAGGAGGCAGGGUCAGCUCCAGCAGAACUCUUGAACUUGAGAAAACAUUUGGCGACUCUUCCUCAGAAACACUUGUUUCAAUAGGGUAAAAUCCAUAGAUUAUUAGAUGCUUUCAUUAUAUGUGUACGUUUUCCUCAUAAAUAUGUAGAGUCUGCUUUACACAGGAAGACUCAUGUUUUUGUGAGAAAAGGAGCUUUAUUUUCAUUUUCAGGAGUCCUUAAAAUGUUUUGUGUAAUUUUCAAUAAAAAGUUCCUAGUACUUUGUUUAUAAGCAAAUUGGAAUGUAACAGUAUGAACAAGAGAAUUUACUAAUUU